rnacentral:rRNA from 1 species
GAUGAACGCUGGCGGCGUGCCUCAAACAUGCAAGUCGAGCGGGGCUAUGUAAUAUCGCAAGGUAGAACAUAGCCUAGCGGCGAACGGGUGAGUAACACGUGGGUAACCUGCCUGGAAGACAGGGAUAACGAUUCGAAAGGGUCGCUAAUACCUGAUAAUAUCCUUUCAUCGCAUGGUGAUAGGAAGAAAGGGGAAACCCGCUUUCAGAUGGGCCCGCGUCCCAUCAGCUAGUUGGUAAGGUAAAGGCUUACCAAGGCGACGACGGGUAGCCGGUCUGAGAGGAUGUACGGCCACACUGGGACUGAGAUACGGCCCAGACUCCUACGGGAGGCAGCAGUUGGGAAUCUUAGGCAAUGGACGAAAGUCUGACCUAGCGACGCCGCGUGAGGGAAGAAGGCCUUGGGUUGUAAACCUCUGUCAUGGGGAAGAAGUAAGUGACGGUACCCAAGAGGAAGCCCCUGCUAACUACGUG